rnacentral:rRNA from 1 species
UACGAAGGGGGCGAGCGUUGUUCGGAUUUACUGGGCGUAAAGGGCGUGCAGGCGGCUCAUUUUGUCAGGCGUGAAAGCCCCGGGCUUAACCUGGGAACUGCGUUUGAUACGGAUGGGCUAGAGUUCGGGAGAGGAGAGUGGAAUUCCCAGUGUAGAGGUGAAAUUCGUAGAUAUUGGGAAGAACACCGGUGGCGAAGGCGGCGCUCUGGACCGAGACUGACGCUGAGGCGCGAAAGCGUGGGGAGCGAACAGG